rnacentral:lncRNA from 1 species
UUUUUUUUUUUUUUUUUGUAAACAGAGUCUCGAAUCCCAAAUCUCUCACAUACACUCGCUCUUUUGAAUUACUCAUUCCAUCCCUCCAUGGCACGUAGUUCUCAAGUAUAAACAAUUAAGGAUUGGAUAUGCCACAAAAUACACAACUAAGAUGGUACUAAAUUCACUGGCAAAGUAAAUUUUAAAGCAGGAAGAAUAGUUACUAAGCGAGAGAAGUUUUACGUUAGUUGGCAUAACUACGAGGCAUGCGUAGUAUUUGUUCCAUAACCUAUAAAAAAAAAAAAAAAAAAAAGACAUCACAUGAACAUAUAAGUAUCUCACUUACUAAUUCACAUGCUAAGUGGAGUUCAAUAGACAUGUUAAAUGAAGCCAAGUGGACUCUUAUAUGUUCACGUGGAAUUCUUUCAUUAGUUAGGAAAUAAGUAUUAGACAUGCUUUUUAUAGUUGUUUUGAGCAUAUAUAAAACUUUUCAUUAGUAAAAGGAUUAACAAGUUAAUUGCCAUAUUGGAGGAAGAAAUAGAUUGAAUGGUACGGAAAAAAAAAAGAGUAUAAAUAAGAGAGAAUCUUGAUUUGAUUCUAGACAUCCCAUACUAAAUAAAGAAAUAAGAAAAGCAAAUUUUAAUUACCCGAAUCUCCCAAAUUAAGCUGGGAGUGAGUGGGCGCGACCAACGAAGCGAGUAGUACCGGAGGAAUGAAGGAUAAGUGGGCUGGACUGGAGUGGGACAAAACGGGGCUCUCCAAUGUGUCGCGAUUCGUACUUGAUCGUCAUCAGAGGAAGCAAUACGAGUGUCCCCCUCUUAUCCCUACACACAAUACUGUUGCGAUGUUCCCCUGGCAGCACGCUCAAAAUUCCCCUUGCCUUCUUUCCUUCUGUCAAUUAUAACCACUGGCGUCUGGACCCCACCUCCUAUUAUGUGUUUGUCUCUCUUAAUACCCCCUCCUAAUUACUCCCUUUGUUUUUACCCAAAUAAAUACUCUCUUAUUAUGUCCCUAAUCAUAAUCCUAAUCAUUCCACUGUUCCAUAAAGUUCCUGCAAUUUUUUGACCCAUCUAUUAUGAAAAAGUGCUUCCUCUGUGAUGGAAUAUCAUGAUUGCACCACUUACACUCCUGUAAUUAUUGAUCUCCUAGACCUGCAAAUACCCACGUAUAGACUUUUAAUGUAUAGUCUUCCUCUUCUUCUUCUACGUGGCUUUUUUUUUUUUGAGGGAUGACAUGUUUCUGGCAAUCAAAUUGAACGCACUUUACAAGAUCUACGGAGGAAGAGCAAAAGAAAAAGGUAGGAGUGGUUGCAUUGCAUAUCAUCCUUUUCAUCUUAAAAAAAGAAUCAUAUAACAAAAACAGUAGCGUUACACUCUUUUUUUUCCCCUAAUAAAAAAAUUUCCAAAUCAUCUUCGAUCUGAGCACGCUAAAUCGUCAUUCUAUUAAGUGCUUGCAGCUUUGGAGUCCAUCUCGUAGAUGUAGAGGUGCCACAUGGAUAAUUCAUACAAGUUCAACAAGUGAUAUGUCUAAUUGAAUAAACACACCUAUAUACCCACUUAAUAAAUGAACAUGAACAUACCUAAUUGCAUAUUAUUCAUGACCGACCUGCUUAAAAUUCUACUUAUUUUUUUUUUUGGUCCAGAUGUUGUUUGACAAGUGAAAACAACAUUUUAUUGGUAUUGAGUUUGCUAGAAAUUCAAAUUCAUCCACUUAAUGUUCACAAAAAAUUGAGUUCGAACGUGCAAUUUUUUUAAAAUAGGUAUAAAUAGGUAAUGCGAAUCAAUUUAUUGCCCACCGAUUGGAUGGGCUUGAUUGAGUCACCCACCUAAAUCUAUUUAAAAUUCAUUGCGCAUUCAAAGUCACUUAUUAAUUGAUGGAUGUGGAUGAAGUAAUAUAAUUGAAUUGUAAUUUACACCGAUACUUGCCUGGAAGCAUAUAACCAACACAUACCAUAUUGCUUAGCAAAUGGCACGCAAAAAAUUAAAAGCGCAACUCAUAAAUCAAUAGUAAUUUGCGUUAUCUGUACGCUCAAGUUACGUAAUUUGACGAGGAGCAGUUCUUCCUUUUCGCUUUCUCUUUUGUCAUUGCCAUAUCGCUUAAUCUCCACACUUCAACUCAUGCCACAUACGGCCUUCAGUGAGGUCGUCCCUGUGAUUGCAGAUUGAGGGAAGCCCACUUCGAAUCAUCAUAAGCAACCGCAGCAGCCGGAUGUCCUGGCUUUUGCUCUAUAAAACUUUCUUCUUCUUCUUCUUCUUUUUUUUUUGGGUGGUAAAUGAUUGACAUUAAUUUGUGCAUGAUGUAGAGUGGAUUUGACGAAGGCGCAGGAUGGAGCACAAUAAUGCCAGUGUCCUCCUUAUUCAACGUUGUAAAUUAUCACAAUUGACCAAAAUUAAUCACGAGUAGCCACUGGCCAUUUGGUCCGGUGGUCAUCACCAUCUUUGGUGAUGCUGGGUUCAACCCUUAUCUCCCACAAACUUGUCACUUUACGUGGCUGGUCUUUUGCCUCCACGGGAUAGCUUGAGCGGCCCGCUCCCCCUCUUUAGGGUAUGGCGACCUUCUUGGCUUGUUCAGGAUUCGAGUCCCGUUGUUAACGUGCUCGGUGUGGAGUGGGGCCUUCUCUCCCGGACCGCAGGAGAUUAGUCGGACCCCGUAAGAAUUGACCCUGUGUUGACAAAAAAAAAAAAAAAAAAACACGAGUAGCAAAUCCAGAACUUAAUGAUGGAAUGGAGAGAUCCACGUCGGCUGAUAUGACUCUCCAGCUAUGUAUGUAUCUCUCACUUUUUUUUUUCCCUUCCCUUAUGCUGUUCUUUUUGUGCAUGACUCACUUUUGUAAAUUCAUUUGCAUUUUUCAUAAAGUGAUUGCUACUAAUUAAUAGAUACUAGUAAUAUCCCGACUGUCGUAAAGGUCCAAAAAAGGCACCCCACAUCCAAAUCCAAACCAUAAUGAAAGGCUAAAACCGCGGGGCUCUUCAGUUUAUUUGAAAGAAUAUCUCAGCUUUACCAAUAUUCAUCGUGAUCUUAGUGUUGUAGAACAGAAUGUAGACCGAUGCCUGGACCACUCUACAAACAGAGAUACGUUCGACAUCAGUACUACAAUUUUGGCUUUUUUUCACUGUCCUCCUCCAGCUCAGUGGUGCUUUCAGUACAGUAAAGGGAUAAAAAAUAAAAAAACAAAAAACACGGAGAGAGAGAGAGAGAGAGAGAGAGAGAGAGAGAGAGAGUACGAUAACAAGACUAUAAACCCCAUUAAUAAUUCAUUGUCCAUGAUUAUGGUUUGUUCUCGAUUGAUUAUUUUAAUUACAGUAAUCUUAAAAAAUUUAUCAGAAAUUUUAAGUUAUAUAUUUCAAAAUAUCUAAAAAUUUAUACAUUAAAAAAAAAUUAAUAAUUUGUCACGGUAAGUUAUAGUAGAAUUUUAGACCGAUACCCGAAAGAACUCAUUUGCCAAACCGAAAAUUUUGAUACCACCUUUAAGUACAUGCCAAAUAGGAUAUUUGAUGUCCUCCAACAUCUAGACUUGAUAGUAUUAAUUUGUCUUUCAUGUUUUUGUUUGUUGUUUUGAUAGAUGGUAGUAGUAUAUAAAACAAUCACCUUAUCCUGAGGCUGCUGCAGACAGAACCAGGCUUCCUUUUUUUUUUCUCUUAUAAAUUACCUGGCCCUUCACCUGAAGUCUUGAACUAUAGAGAUAGAUAGAUUUGUAGGCCAAAUUUACCUCCGUACGUGGGGAAUUCCCAGCACCAGUAAGGAGAGGGGUAUUUAGUAUUUACUACUACCAGUACUUUCGUGGGAUGCUUGCUUAUUUAUUAUAGUCCAUAGGACCCAAAUUAAGGCAAAAUCCAUGUCGUGGGACCCAGUGGGAAGCAUGUGCAUGAUCGACACGUGUGAUGAGAUUAAGGGUGGGGGAUUAAGAGGUAUCGAGAGUACCGCAAAAUUGAGGAAUAAUCAAUAAUGUGCCGCUGGGAUUGCGGCGAGUUUAAUUUCCAAAGGUUUUGAAAAGUGUGCAAAGUGCAAACGAACCCUCCGAUCCAAUUCCUUGCUACUCACUGUACAGAGCAGAGUAGAUCGCAAGUAGCGGGAAGAGGAGGAGGAGGAGGAGGAGUAGUUCGCAACUUCGCGUGCUACUGGGAUUUCGAUUUCGGAGAAGAGUUUGGACCGUUGGAUCAAGUGAGCAUCCACACGCGCAUGCAUGCAUGAUACUUACUCUGUGGUCCCCAUCCAUUUAAUCACGUGGCUUGCGCAGGAUUGAUGCGAAUUUGUGGAUCAAGGAUAAAUCUGUAGUGUCACUGCUAAAUACUGCACGGUAGUAUUUUUAUUUUCAGACGCAUCCCAUUUAAUCUAAAUAAAUUUAAGCCUUGUUUGAAUUGUCAUUUAUUUUUUUAAAAUUUUUUAAAUAUUUUUUGUAAACAUAUUUUUAAUCAUCUUUUUAUCUCAUAUACAUUAAAUCGUUAUAAUAUAUUAUUCUACAAAAAUUUCACUAAAUAACAAUUCAAACGUAUCCUUAAAUCUGAAUCUCAAAAUAUGAAUAUAUAUAUAUUAAUCCUUUUUUCGAUUUAUCUUUUGGCUAUCCUCUGCAUCCUGUGAACUGCGUGCAGGAGUCAUUUUUCAGAUUAAAGGACUAAAAGGAGAUGAUAAAAACGAAUCCACCCUUUACUGCAGGAUAUAUUAAGAAAACUGGGGCUCUAUUCAGAUUAUGUUCUCGUUUUAAGGAUGAUUAGUGUCGCUUAUCGUCCGCUGAACGGAACAUUCUCUUGAUAACAACCCCAAAAAAAAAAAAAACCUUAUUAAUUGCUUUUCGUUGUAACUAAAACGGUUUGAGCAGACCUGCGCCAGAAUGAACCAUUAAAUGAAUGGCACGUGGCCAGUUUCACUAACAUGCGCCUCUCAUAAAUUUGUCGUGAACCGCAGGCGUGGCCGAACGGUCAAACAUCAGAAGGGAAAGCACAGUGAGAAAGGUAGGCCCCAAUGAAAAGGGCAGAGAUCCCACGAAGAAAUUUGCAUUGAAAAAUCAUCCCAGAAAAGGCAAUACAAACUUUACAAAGUCGUGGAAUCUGAAUCUCUUGGUUCUUGAAAUACAUUUAAGAACUUGGAGCAUUUCCUCGAUAUGCCCAAUUUUUGCACUCUUCAUCCCUUGGCUUCAUUUUUAAUUCUACUUUAGCCCGUCAAGUUUCAACAAUAUCAUAUUUGGUUCCCAAAUUCUUAUUUUCGUUCUAUUUUGGUCUCUCGUGUUUUAGUAUCAAAACAUUUGGUCCUUUAUGCACCUAAAGUAUAACCAUUUGAAGACGAAACAAUUAUUAGAUACAGUUUUCGUACAAUUAAGUGCAACAAAUGUACUUAAAAAUAAAAACCUAUAAGUUUUCAUAAAUACUUAGGUAAAUCUAGUGUACAGUUUCAUUUAUAAUUUAAAUAGUAUAGUUAAAAGUCACAUGACUUUUUUUAUAUCAUCACAAUCAUAUAUUAAUAUUUUUUAAUAUGAUACUAUUAGAUAUAUCACAUAUUUCAAAAUGUCUCAUUUCAAGUUCAAAAAACAUUUAUGAAAUCAACCCAUUUUUUUUUUCAAAGUGUUGGAACCAAUUAGUUCAAUUUUUAAUCAGUAGUUAGCAGGUGAUCAACGUACCUAUUUGGCUCGAUUUUUCAAGUUAGGGCGAGACCAUGAAUUGUAUUUUCAAUCUAUUAAUUGGUACACGCCAUUACAAAGGUUUUUACAAGCCAAACACUGAUGCUAGUGUGUUCAGCAACAAUGCUUAUGGUGGGGACAUUUUUCGAAAUUGUAAUAGCGGUAUAAUUUUUCCUCUCUACAAGGAGUUCUAAAACUUUGGACAUUUUUUUACUGCUUAGAGCUAUGCUUUGCUUCAUGGGUUGCAAUUAUGUGUUUCUUAGGGUUAUCAUGCUACAUAAGUGGAAGUGGAUUUAGCUACACUAGUUAGGUCGUUAAGUUCCAGUUCAAAAGCUAAGUGGCCUUUGUGCAAAUAUUUGAAAUAGAUUCAGAUCACCAUUAAUGUCUUCAAAUAAUCUAUCUCUCAUGUUUACCGCGAGGCGAAUCCUGAUUCCUGAUGGUCUUGUCUUGUUUUCACUUAGACCAUGUAGUUGUUUUCCCUCAUUCCAUCAUCUUUCAACUAGAAUUUAGGCAUUAAUUAAUUUAAAUAUAAUUAUUUUGCUCUACUUAAAAUUACACACUGUGAACUGAGAGUGUUGUACCCCUUAUUUCAUUUAUAUUAUUUCUUUGUACUGAAUGCCAGGUCCUUGUUCCCUCCACAUUUUGUUGAUAUUUUAAUAAAAUAACCCCUCCACGUAAAUGGAGUUUGCUACAAAAAAAUUAUCACAUGAUUUACAAGGAAACUAAAAAAAAUUAACCUACUUGACUAUUUUUGUAUAGUGAUGCCAAAUUCGAUUAGCUAUAAAAGACAUACGAAUAAGUUUUGAUCGAAAUAUUAAUGGCUAAAACUGACGAUGACGUUUGUUAGAUACGGCAUUACUAUUUCCUAUGAUGAAAUAGUUAAUAGUAAAAAUCUAAAAUUGUAUUUGGAUUGCAUUUUUCUAGAUUUUUGGUAAAAAAAAAAUACUGUAGCGAUUGAUAUAUGUAAGGUAAAAAGAUGAUAGGGAAAUGUGUUUACGGAAAAUGUGAUAAUUUUUCUUUGAAACAAACAGGGCCUUAACAUUUAACAAGAAAUUAAUUGUGCCCGUCAUGCCCAAGAAGAGCUGAUUUCCUCUUCGCCCUUCGCAUGCGUGAAAAACGGGUCCCAAAUCCCAACCCGUCAUGUACUAAAGAAGAAACACAAGGGACGGAACAAAUUUGGUCCAAACCUUGAGGACUGAGAGUCAAAUUUAAAAAAAAAAGAGUCAAAUUCUCUCCCUCGAUAUCCACGUGCUAAAAUGCGCCUCGCGUCUGUCUUAUUCCCAUGUCCCAAGUCCCAAAUAGCACUCCCUCCAUUUCUUUUUUAAUUCGAAACUACAAAAGAAAACGGGAAAAAUUCAAAGAUUUGUUUUCUUUACUAUUAGACUAGUGGAUAUAUGCACGCAAGAAACGGUGGAGAUGGUAGUAGAAUACUUCAGUUAUUAAUUCUGACACGAUCGAUUUCGUGCUGGGAUAGCUUUCCCCUGCUGCAUUUAUCCCAUUUUUAUUUACUCGUCACAAAGUUUUAUUCAUCAGAUUCCUAAAGCUGCAAAACAAUUCACCCAUAUCCAGUGUGUAUGAGCUGGGCUGGGUAAGACCAUGCAUUCACACUAAUCCAUUUCAGUUUUAGGUUCAUUUACUCAAUCAAGAAAUAGAAAUUAGUAGAAAAAACCCAGAAGAAAAUGGGCUAUCUUUGGAGAAAAGUUUGUGUUUUUGGUAAAAAAGAGUGAAACUUUUGUGUCAAUUAUGAUGAAUGAGAGAGACAAAUGGGAAAAGAAAAAGGGAAAGGCAAAACAAGGGGUGGGGCGAAUAGGACUGGGAUGGGCGGGUUGUUUCAGAGCUUAGAAGAGAGGAAUCAGAAUGAUGAUCACUUUCAUUGAAAGGUCGGUUUCUUUUGAGGAUAGGUAGAAAAAGAGAACAGAUAAAAGGGAUAUCAAAGGCACACUUGAUAAAUGAUAAUCCGACCACUCGCUAAUUUUUAGUCAUGCUUUGGUCCGCGUGCUUUGAUACAAACUGACCGGCCCCGGCCUUGGCCCCUGCUCCCGGACCUCCUUUUAUUUCUCUUCUUUGUUUUUAGGGGGAGUUCAUUUUCAAAAAUUUCCCUUUCGCUGUGAUGGCGUUGUUGAUGGAGAGAAGCCCCACUUAGAUUUUCAGUACCUUUUGCAGGGCUUUUGUUCCUUGGUUUUGGAUUAUUUGGGCAUGCUCUCUCGCUCUCUCUCGUGUGUCAAAUGGAUUGUUUUCUCACAUAGUGUUACUUCUAGAUUCUCUAAUCAGCUGUGUUCACUUGUUGGUCUUUUGGCGUAAUCCUCAGUUUCUCUCAGAAAUAUCAUGUUAGGCUAGUACUUUGACAUGGGUUUGUUGGUGCCUAUUAAUAAAGUUGAAGACAGCAUGAAGAAGAAUCUUUAAAAGGGGUAAAGGGAUAUUUCUCUUUGCUUUGAAGAAUUAUGUGAUCCCUUUUCAGGUGUGUUAGUGGUUUGCUAGCUCUGGUCCUUCUUUUGAGCUUGUAUUACUCCCUUAGGAUGGGUGGAAAGACUGGAACUUUUUGUGAUGUUGAUCAGUUGCAUGGCAUAUUAAAGGGUUCUUUCUGAUUUGAUUGCUAGGUUCAGUGCUUGAGCAAAGAUGAGUUCUUUUACUGUGUUAUUGAGUUGAAAUAGAAGAGGUACCGGCCAAGAUGGGUGCCGUUGAAGAGAAGAUCAAAGGCGGAGCUUUGGUUCCCGGAGUACAGAACAGUCUACUUGAGGAGAUGAAACUGUUGAAGGAAAUGCAGGAUCAGUCUGGUUAGUUCCCUAAACUGAUUCUUAUUUGUCUCAUAACUCUUAAAUUGAAUAAUGUCUUCACCAGUUAAGAGGCUCGAGAGAGAGGUAAUCUUCAAUAUUCUGGCUUUAGCAUUUGUCUCUUGACAUUAUUCUGAUAGGAGUCUUAUUCUUUGCUGAACCUGAAUUUCCAUAGGAAUUAGAAAGCCAAUAAAUUCGGAGCUGUGGCACGCAUGUGCUGGUCCACUGGUGAUGCUGCCUCAGGUGGGAAGCCUUGUGUAUUAUUUUCCACAAGGUCACAGCGAGCAGGUUAGUAGUUCAUUUUGUUGCUACUAAGUUCAACAGAGUUAUCAUGUUAAAGAAAUAGGUAAAACGCUGCUUGUUUUCAGUUUGCACUUGCAUUGAAUUUAUCACGUUUCUGGCAGAAAUUUCACAUGCUUUGGUAGGGUGCGGUAAAUUGGAUGCUUGUUUAUGACAGGCGAAGUGAUUCUUUCUAAAAUUCAAGUGGAAUGUUACCUUUUAGGAGAUGGCCUUAGGGAUGGGAAAAGGUUUUCAGUGCACCCAAAAACAAGAAAAAGAAGAGGCCUAGAAAUAAGGAAUCUUAUAAAAGCUCACAACGCCAUUUUACCGCUGCUUUGACAAAAGUGGCUCUGAGGUCUGAGAAAUUGCUGACAAUUUGGGGAUUUUUUUGGGUAAAUAACAGAUUGUGAAUGAUAUAAACGAACUAUUAAUUAAAUCUAGACAGUGUGUGCAAUACCUUGGUUGUAGGCUUCAUAGACUAUUGAAGUAGCCAGACCAUUUCCAGAUUUGGUGCUUUUAAGUUUUCAAGCUUUAGUGUUAGGUAGAAUAUGUUGUGGACUUUCCAGAUUAUUUAGAACUUUGCAGGAUUAUGAUCACUAAAAAUGGAUGACUAAACUUAGAAUAGAUUAAAUGUGCUAUCAUAGGGAUGUAUCAGGAGUAUGAUCUACUUUUGAUAUGAUUAAAAUGUCAACGCAUGCAGUCUCUUUGGAUGCUUUUCUGGGUUACUGAGUUGGUUUUUGGGCUAAUGGGAUUUUGCUUUCAUUGACACAGGUUUCAGUUUCAACAAAUAGAACAGCAACGUCUCAAAUCCCAAAUUAUCCCAAUCUCCCCUCUCAACUUUUGUGUCAAGUGCACAAUGUCACACACCAUGUAUGUGCUCUCAGAGAUGUUUUCAGGAAUCUCUCUAUAUAAAAUCUUCGCUAAUGUGUACAAGUCAUUGACAUUUCUCGUGGCAUUCUUUGGUUGUGAUAGGCAGAUAAGGAUACUGAUGAGAUUUAUGCCCAAAUGAGCCUUCAACCUGUGAACUCUGUAAGCUCAAAGUUGAAAAACUGUUUUUACUUGUCAUAAUAUGAAAUUAGCUAAGCCUAGAAUGAAAUAAAUAAACAAACUCCUUUUAAGUUCUUUUACCUUAGAAAAAGUUUCCUUGACGGAAUUUCUUCUCUUUCUGCAUCAGGAUAAAGAUAUUUUUCCCAUGCCAGACUUUGGAAUAAAGCCAAGCAAACAUCCUACCGAAUUCUUUUGCAAGACUCUGACCGCAAGUGACACUAGCACACAUGGUGGCUUCUCAGUUCCUCGAAGGGCAGCUGAAAAACUCUUUCCUCAACUGGUGAGGUUCCUUAUUGCUUGAGAUAUCUUUGCCAGCUUCUGUUGAUGGAUCAUCUACUCCAUCCAUUGAUUUUUCUUAUCUCCAUAUUCAAUUGUGCCAUUUUAGGACUACUCAAUGCAACCUCCAACUCAAGAGCUUGUUGUCCGAGACUUGCAUGAUAAUACCUGGACUUUUCGUCAUAUAUACCGAGGUGAGCAUUCUCUGAUUUCCCUCUUAAAUUUCACUCUAUAUAUUAUUUCAUGCUUGUUUCAUUGAGACUAGGAUUGCCUAGCACAAUUUCGUCUGUAACGAUAAGGUUCAUUGAAAAGUAAUCUUCACAUUGAUAGUCUCCAUAUUUCUACAAUGUCCAACUUUCUAUUAUUCAUUGAUAACUUGCAAUUAACCAUUCCAACUAGGAAGCCAAUGACAUGCAGACAUGUUUGUCAUAAUUGUAUUGUAAUAUAGCAGGGUUGUCCUUGUUGAGGCCGGAUUAAGUCUUACAUUAUUAUUAUCCAAUACUGACCUGAAGUCAGAAUUGAUCUUCAGCAUUGACCAUUUCUCAUUUUACUUUUAUUGACUGUUGCUUUUAAUACUUUGGUUUCUUAUGUAGGUCAGCCAAAGCGGCAUCUUCUUACUACUGGUUGGAGCAUGUUUGUUGGAACAAAGAGACUUAGAGCAGGUGAUUCUGUUCUGUUUAUAAGGUAAUUUCAAGUCAAAUCAACUGACUGUUGGUUAUUUUUCGAUUUCCAAUGCGUGGCAUUUCUUGAGAUGGUUGGAUUUUUUUAUUUUUUUCGAGCCAUAAAGUGAUGUUAUUACAAAUUCUGACGAGCAUGUGCAUUUCUCUGUUUGAGGAAAAGAAAUGAAAACUCAUUGUUGCGUGCAAUGCGACUAUUGAUCUUCAUAAAUUAUUUGGUGCUGAUUAUUGGAAUAAUACGGUUCAUCACAUAAAAUUUAGUUUUUUAGUUGGCUUCAUGUGUGGUUAUUCAUGAUAGAAAAAGUGUUCGAAAUACUCACUGAUCAAGAAUGUGUAAUUCAUUGAUUUUUGAAGAUUAGUAAUGAACGACCCUAUUUGUGAUAGGGAUGAGAAGUCACAGUUAUUGCUUGGAGUGAGGCGUGCUAACCGUCAACAGGCUGCUUUACCAUCAUCGGUACUCUCUGCUGAUAGCAUGCAUAUAGGAGUCCUUGCUGCCGCAGCUCAUGCUGCUGCAAAUAGGAGUCCAUUUACAAUUUUCUACAAUCCCAGGUACUUUGCAAAUAUUUUGUUACAAUAAUUAUUUUUAUAUGAUCAAUCAUUAUUUGAAAAAAACGAGUAACCUUUGGUGAAAUUUGUACGUUCACAGGGCAUGUCCUUCUGAAUUUGUCAUCCCUUUGGCAAGAUAUCGAAAAUCGGUAUAUGGAACACAGCUUUCAGCUGGUAUGAGGUUUGGAAUGAUGUUUGAAACUGAGGAAUCAAGUAAGCGAAGGUAAGUUCUGUUGUCAUUGGCUGUUUACUGAACAAGGUCCCUUUUGACUUCGGUUUUCUCAAACUUUUCCGUUUCAUGGACAGAUAUAUGGGUACAAUUGUUGGCAUAAGUGACUUGGAUCCACUGAGAUGGCCUGGUUCCAAGUGGCGAAGUCUUCAGGUAAAGUGUAUUGGGACUAAUGUUGGAUACUUCAAGAACAGUCAAUUUGGCAAGUUCGGCAAGUUUUGCUUUCAUGUUUGCUUAUUGAACUUUACCUUUGUUCAAACAACAGGUAGAGUGGGAUGAGCCUGGUUGUGGGGAUAAGCAGAAUAGAGUGAGUCCUUGGGAGAUUGAAACCCCUGAAAGUCUCUUCAUUUUUCCUUCUCUGACUGCAGGUCUUAAACGACCUUUCCAAUCUGCAUUUUUGGGUAAGUUUCUUCUUAUGAUGUCUUGUGGCCAGCCCCUGUAUUAAAGUGAUACUAACCAAAUCAAAAUAAUCUUGCAUCAGGAGCACAAACUGAAUGGGAAAGUUUAGUUAACAAACCUUUUCUUCGAGUUCCAGGAAAUCUUAGUGGGGAUAUUGUGUGUCCUUCUGUUUCCAACCCAUGGUCAGAACAACUAAUGAAGAUGCUGAUAAGACCCAAUUGUGUCGACAAUCUUCCCAGCACUGCAUCUUCUAUACUAGAAGCAAAUGCUAAGGUUUCUCCAGUGCUGGAGGCUGAAAAGAUUACGCAGGCAGUAAUCAAGCAAAAGGCUGAUAUUAUUCCUCAAGAGCAUGUAUCUUCGCAAAGUGAGAGUAUUCAGCAAAGCCAUCUUGACCAAGCCAACAACUCAAAACUGAACUUUUCAUCCCAAUCAGUUCUACCUGGAAAACCACAACAUCUGGACAAACUUGGAAACCAAACACCUGUAAUUCAUACCGAAGCUACCAAACUAGAGCCUGAGCUGCAAUCUGAUCAGUUGAGCCAAUAUUCAUCACUUGGACACUGUAACGAUGAUAGAUUGGUAGUUAAGCCUGCAAAUUCGCAUAAUCUCGUAAAUGAUAUCGUAUUAUUGAAUCAGAAUAAUAAUAUGCUAGCAGUGCAAGCAAGUCCAAAGAUGAUGCAGGCACAGUUGGACUCACAUCUUCUCCAGUCUCUGCCAAGUGAUGUAUCCCAAGUAGAAAAUUCGAUCGCCGAUGGUCUAUUUGUUUACCCAGAUCACAAUGAAUGGAAUUUAUAUCCUUCAUCUUGCCAAUCUCUGGCUGGGCUUCUCAAACCUCCUGGAUCUUCAUCUGCUGCAAUUAGGAAGCAUGAUCAGCCAGUUAUAUUAUCAGGAGGAUUGGGCCCUGAACUUUCGACAAUUGAAGAAUUGUGGAAUAACCAAUUUAAUAAUGCGAGAUUUUUGUCCCAGACAAACCCCCUUGUUUCAUUUCCUCAGCAAGAUCUACCCAACCUUCACCUUUUAGCCAGCUCAUUUGGUUUAAAAGAUUUGUCAAAUGAGAGCUCUAACCAAAGUGAUAUGUAUAGUUGUCUAAAUUUUGAUGGAAAUAACAGUGGAAGCACAGUGGUUGAUCCUUCUGUUUCAAGCACAGCAUUGGAUGAAUUCUGCACGCUAAAGAAUUCUAAUUUCCAGAGUCCUUCGGAUUACCUCAUGGGAAACUUCAAUUCGUGCCAGGAUGUUCAAUCUCAGAUUACCUCUACAAGCUUGGCUGAUUCUCAAGCUUUCUCUGUGCAAGAAUUUGUUGAUAACUCGGGUGGUACAUCUUCAAGCGAUGUAGAUUUUGAUGAGAGCAAUGCUUUGCCAAAUAGCUCCUGGCAGCAAACAACUCCAAGGGUGCGAACGUAUACAAAGGUAAGCAAUUUGUUGCAUGCAGCAAGUUGUGCAUUUGGUUGUGGAGUAUUUGCAAAAGUAUUGAGUUGAAUGUAGUAAUUUUUAUAAUAAACGAAGAGGUAAUGUCAUUGCAUCUACUUCCGAGAUAUGUUCAACCACUUUGUUGGUUGACUGGAGCAACUCGGUUAUCCUUUGUUCAUAGCAAAAGAUUGUGGAGUCAUACCUCUAGUAAGUGGUCGCCCAUUGUCAAGUUUGUUUGUGGAAUGCUGACAAAUGUUAUGGACCUGUAGAAUAUUCUUCCUGCAAAGUCACUGACUCUCUAUGGAAGAUUAUUUGGUAUACACUUAUUCAUGUCUGUUUGGCUUUCAACUUUUCAGCUUGCCUUGUGCAUGUUAUGCAUGCCAUUGCUGUUAUCUUUUCCAAAUUUUUAAUGGCUUUCGCUUAUUUUACUUCCUCAAUGAUGGAAUACGUAUUGGCUGAUAGAUCCAAAAGGCUGGAUCUGUUGGAAGGUCAAUUGACGUCUCAAGUUUCAAGAAUUAUGAUGAACUAUGUUCUGCAAUUGAGCGGAUGUUUGGACUCGAGGGACUGCUAAACGACUCGAAAGGUUCUGGCUGGAAACUGGUGUAUGUGGAUUUUGAGAAUGAUGUGCUUCUUGUUGGGGAUGAUCCUUGGGAGUAAGUUGCUUUUCUAUUCUGUGUCUAUAGAAAGCCUUGUGUAUCAUCAACAUCAGAAGGCACGUUUAGUUUCUUGCUGUAAAUUUAUUGCAGAUAUUGUCCUGGAGACACUACUUGCAAGCAAAAUUUCUCUUUCAGAUUUACUAUAUUACUCCAUGAUUAUGCAGCAUAGCAUGUAUGGCGAAUCAGAGCAAUUAUGUUUGCUGACAAAGGUUUUGUUUUUUCAUCCUGAAAUGGAAUUACAGGGAAUUUGUUGGUUGUGUCAAGUGCAUCAGAAUCCUAUCACCCUCUGAGGUUCAGCAAAUGGGUGAAGAGGGAAUGCAACUUCUAAACUCUGUCUCAGAAGCAGGACGUUCUUGUGAUGGCCUUGGCUAAUAUGUGAGAAAGCACGCCUGCUUUUGAAAUCGCGGUGCUUUGUUGCCCCUCCUCGCUGAUGCUGAGAUAAAGUCUGAUUUUCAACUCUGCUUAAUCCAUGCAUCGCAGUAUCAUGUUGGCUGGCAACAUAGAUGCUAAUAAAUGUAUUAAUGUAAUGUAUGUACAACCUUAUAAGGUGGUGUAGAGUAGUAUUGUAGUUUGAGCUUUCUUUUAAUGCUUGUCUUGUGUUAUGGAAACGUACCAGUAGUUUGAGCAUUUUUAAAUGCAAGUCUUGUAUGACGGAAACGUAUCAGGUUCUGUAGCAGCGAGUGGCGACAUUUUUAGCAUAUGAAGCUAUUAUGGGAAGACAAUUUGCAGUUCAUACACGCUAGUGUGGAAAUAGACCUCUCCAGAAAACUGGUAAUAAGUGUUGUUGCGUUCAAGGAAUGAACCAAAUCCUAUGCAGAAGUAAGGCAACUCUGUUUUAUUAUUAUUUCUCAACUUUCGUCGCGUAGGGAUUCGUAUUUUGCAUUUCAAACAAGCUACAAUUAAGAGAAACAGCUUCCCAUUUGCUGCACCUUACAUCACUUUUCUUCCGCUUCGCUUCGCUACUUAACAUUUCAGGCAUUUGAAAGAUGCCUCCUAAGGAUGUACAUUGUACCGAGGUUCAGAAAAAAACAGGAGAGUUAAUAAUCUGGAAAAGCGCAUAAAGAGGGAACUGUGGCCCUGGCAGUAGCGUAUAUCUUCCAUGGCAAUGAACCAAAUGCCAUUAAACAAUUGAAUGCCCCCUCAGGAGUUUUUGUUGUCUAAAUUAACAGGCCCAACCAUGCAGACGGUCAAACAUACAACACUUGAAUAUUUGGAGAUGGUGGUUAAAAUGAAGUUGACAUAGCUGAAGCAUGACAUUUACUCCUACAAACUCCCAAAAUCAAGUGCUAAAAUGGAAGAAAUAGAGGCCCCAGAAGAGAGCCAACAACUCUGCUUGCAAGUGGACAAAUCUUUAGUUGGUGAGAACUAGGCCUAGAGCUUAAUAAUUAGCAUUACAAUCAACUUUGCAAACUUAAUGUUAACUGUUGAUCUCCAUCGUAAUACAAGUUAUUGACAGAGACUGAACUUGUCCCUUUUAGACAAGAGUGGGAUGAGCCUGAAUAAUAGUCUUGUACCCUUGGGAGAGUAUUAACCCUUGGGAAAUUGAGAACCCUGGCAGUCUUCCAAAUAAUACUCUUGAACGAUGUCCAAAAAGAACAAAAACUAUCUUUUAAAGAAACCUGCGAGAGAUAUGCUACAACUAUAUCACAGAUAAAGACGGUCUACACUUAUCAGGAAUAUCUGGGACUCGCCACCGUAUCAGAUUGCUAGUCUGUAUAGUCUGAUGGAUGAUAGAAUGCAUACAGAAAACAACCAGCUUGAGAAUUAUCAUUUAAGAGAGUAGGUCUACUUUGUGGGUUGGGGAACUGAAUUGUUGGAACUUAUGUUGUUCUGGCUGAACCCCUUGGAAACAUUUUUUCUGGCUGAAAUGGAUUAAAAAGGCCUAAUAUGGCUACCAACCAGUAGGAUUAACCAGAAAGACCAAGAAUGAAAUCUAAUCAAAACUGUAGGGCUUUCUAAUCUUGUCUAACAUUUCCCUGUGCAAGGGUGCUAAAGCUGAAUGCUGGCAACUAUGGAGGAUGAGGGGGGAGGAUUUAGAACAUUUUUUGCAAGAAUGGUCAUAGGAGCUGCUUGUCAGGCCAACUGAAUUUUAAUACUUUAUCCUUCCCUGGAAGUCCAGAUAAGAAAGCUUGAAAGCAUCAAAUACCUCGCCAUAUACUCUGCAGAGUCUCCUUGUCGACCAAAAGCUGACACAUGCUAUGACAGCUAAGAAUUAUUUUUCUCAAAGUUAGGUCGUAGAAACCAUUCGAUGAACCAGAUGCAAAAUUGGCACAUGCCCGCUAGUCAAAAUGAACCUGAAAAAACCUAUUCUAGGGAUAUGGAAUCUCGGCGCUAACAGAUCUAAUUACGGACAGAAGAACCAAACACAAUAAAAAGCUUAACAAAAGACAAUGAUCCAGAAACAACGAGCAAAAGGACCUGAACAUUGAAAAGCAUAAACAGCAUUUGAGGACCAUUUUGUAUCUCAAUGAAAUGCCUCGAGCACUUAUGCAGCAAAAGCCCUUAAAUAGGUGAUUGAAGAAAUCAAGCAGAAUCUUUUGACAGUCAGAAGCCAACACCCACCAAAAGCAUUCAACAACUGGGCUUAUCAGUGAGAUAAAAAAGUUCACCGGAAGCACCUUAGUGACCCACAUUGCAAGUUCAUCCAGAUAUAAGCCUCAGGUUGUGCUGAAAAUUUUCAAAAUAUUGAAUAAAUUGAUAUUACAAAUGACCUUGUCAAUAAAAAUCCAACUAAGAAGACAUCUUUCUUUAAAAAUUCAUCAAGAAGAAAGUAAAACAAAUUUAUAAAGUAAACAGAUAUACAACACUUGGAAAUUGGCAGAGCCUAUCAUCAUGUAUGUUGCUGAUUGCAGUCGAGAAAGAUAUAACCAAUUCACCUUGCUUAUUUCACAUUGCAAAGAAAUAUAUGAGGCAGUUAAGAAAUGAGAUAACAGCCAAAAUAUCUAUUGUGGAGUCUAUUGCUAGAUAAGCUAUUCUUACCUCUUAAUAUGCACGGACCAGUCCUAAUUCAUUGUACCCUUACUGGUUUCUGUAGAACAGCAGAGAGGUAAACUUCUGCUUUUCCUGAUCCAUUGAUCUU